GCCAUAAAAGAACAAGUCACCUCUCCUGCUGACUUACUAUGCAGAAAAACAUAAUCCUUUUGCUCAUAGUAGUUAGAUGAGCGAUGUGCCAAGAACUUCCUGUGCCAAGAACAGCUACGCCCAGAUGGACAGAAUUUUUCUGCUAGAAAUCAGAAACAAGACUGGUUAGUUUUGUCAGGAACUCUUAUUUAUUGAGCAGUACUCUAUUUUACACAGAGAUACAAACGGUGCCUCCAAAAUCAUAGAAUCAUUCAACUAUUGCAUGCCACACAGAUACCAUAACUUGACAUUCAAAGCAAACUUCUUGAACUUCUGAAGAGGAGCAAUGAAAUAUGGUUUAGUGGCUCAUGAUAGUAACGGUAAUGGGGGGACGGUUGGACUAGAUGACCUUGUAGGUCCUUUCCAACCUCGUGAUUCUAUGAUUCUAAGUUCUACUAACUUACUUUACUAACUUGAAUGUACUCUAAAGCAUUUCUUCUUCUGAUUAUCCACUGCAUCGACUACAACACAGAAGUUACAUCAGCAAUCAAACAAGCAUCCCAAACACACACACACACACACACACACAUAUAUAUAAAAUAUACAUCUUUCUAUUUACAUAAGAGAUCCAAAUGCCAGAAUACUACAGCUGUGCUGUGUGCCCUGUGCUACACUUCCAAACAUGUUAGGAAGCGAAGUCAACAGUAGAACCCUGUAGUCAACAGUAAGCAUUAUUGGCACGCAUUAACUUUACUACAGCUUAUCUAUGCUAUUACCUCAAUAAAAUCCCUACAGCUGUCCCUUUGCACACCACUUCCUAAAGCACCAAAUUUAGUCACAAAGAACACAAGCUUGAGGUAAGAUUUAACUUACAAACUCAGGCAGCCCUUUAUUUCUUACAAAAACUUGAAAACCACAUCCACAGGUCCUUUCAGUGCAAGGAUAAGUAAAUGAAAAACGCAUUCUGUAGCUGAAAAUGAGCUACUGAAAUCAGGUUUUAAUUACUCUGAGGAAAAACAACGAAGCUGCACAGCGCUUAAACACAGACUAAGGUUUACAUACGAAGCCAAGAAGCGUAACCACAGCUGAAGCCCCAGAUGGCUUCAUAACAGCAUCAGCGCUGCCUGUGAGCACCGAGCGCUUCCGAACAGCACAGUUCCGGAGGGCGCCCACAGAAGGGCCGGGGCCUCUCCGCCUCCCGCGGCGUUACCUCACCGCCGGCCCCGACCCCCUCCGUGCUGACUGACUGACCGAUCCCCGCAGCACCGCGGGAAGGCGGCCCCGCGGCCCCUACCUGAUGCCCAACGAGCCGCCUCAGCGCC
ensembl:lncRNA